UACAGGGGGUGCUAGCGUUGUUCGGAAUUACUGGGCGUAAAGCGUGCGCAGGCGGUUAUAUAAGACAGUUGUGAAAUCCCCGGGCUCAACCUGGGAACUGCAUCUGUGACUGUAUAGCUAGAGUACGGUAGAGGGGGAUGGAAUUCCGCGUGUAGCAGUGAAAUGCGUAGAUAUGCGGAGGAACACCGAGUGGCGAAGGCAAUCCCCUGGACCUGUACUGACGCUCAUGCACGAAAGGCGUGGG
rnacentral:rRNA from 1 species